rnacentral:rRNA from 1 species
GACGAACGCUGGCGGCGUGCCUAAUACAUGCAAGUCGAGCGCAGGAAGCUGACGGAACUCUUCGGAGGGAAGGCAGUGGAAUGAGCGGCGGACGGGUGAGUAACACGUAAGGAACCUGCCUCAAGGAUUGGGAUAACUCCGAGAAAUCGGAGCUAAUACCGGAUAGUUCAACGGACCGCAUGGUCCGGUGAUGAAAGGCGCUUCGGCGUCACCUUGAGAUGGCCUUGCGGUGCAUUAGCUAGUUGGUGGGGUAACGGCUCACCAAGGCGACGAUGCAUAGCCGACCUGAGAGGGUGAUCGGCCACACUGGGACUGAGACACGGCCCAGACUCCUACGGGAGGCAGCAGUAGGGAAUCUUCCACAAUGGACGAAAGUCUGAUGGAGCAACGCCGCGUGAGUGAUGAAGGUGUUCGGAUCGUAAAACUCUGUUGUAAGGGAAGAACACGUACGAGAGGGAAUGCUCGUACCUUGACGGUACCUUACGAGAAAGCCACGGCUAACUACGUG